rnacentral:rRNA from 1 species
GACGAACGCUGGCGGCGUGCCUAAUACAUGCAAGUGGGACGCAAGGACACACACUGUUCUUGCACACCGUGUUUUCUUGAGUCGCGAACGGGUGAGUAACGCGUAGGUAACCUGCCUAUUAGCGGGGGAUAACUAUUGGAAACGAUAGCUAAUACCGCAUAAUAUUAAUUAUUGCAUGAUAAUUGAUUGAAAGAUGCAAGCGCAUCACUAGUAGAUGGACCUGCGUUGUAUUAGCUAGUUGGUAAGGUAAGAGCUUACCAAGGCGACGAUACAUAGCCGACCUGAGAGGGUGAUCGGCCACACUGGGACUGAGACACGGCCCAGACUCCUACGGGAGGCAGCAGUAGGGAAUCUUCGGCAAUGGACGAAAGUCUGACCGAGCAACGCCGCGUGAGUGAAGAAGGUUUUCGGAUCGUAAAGCUCUGUUGUAAGUCAAGAACGUGUGUGAGAGUGGAAAGUUCACACAGUGACGGUAGCUUACCAGAAAGGGACGGCUAACUACGUG